rnacentral:rRNA from 1 species
GACGAACGCUGGCGGCGUGCUUAACACAUGCAAGUCGAACGGAAAGGCCCUGCUUUUGUGGGGUGCUCGAGUGGCGAACGGGGGAGUAACACGUGAGUAACAUGCCCUUGACUUUGGGAUAACUUCAGGAAACUGGGGCUAAUACCGGAUAGGAGCUCCUGCUGCAUGGGGGGGGUUGGAAAGUGUCGGCGGUUGGGGAUGGACUCGCGGCUUAUCAGCUUGUUGGGGGGGUAGUGGCUUACCAAGGCUUUGACGGGUAGCCGGCCUGGGAGGGUGACCGGCCACAUUGGGACUGAGAUACGGCCCAGACUCCUACGGGAGGCAGCAGUGGGGAAUCUUGCACAAUGGGCGGAAGCCUGAUGCAGCAACGCCGCGUGCGGGAUGACGGCCUUCGGGUUGUAAACCGCUUUCGCCUGUGCCGAAGCGUGAGUGACGGUAAUGGGUAAAGAAGCACCGGCUAACUACGUG